CCAAACCCCAGUGGUGGACCGAUUGGGGCCUGUGCGAAAGCUGGGCUUCACGGGCCAUGAUGUGGCAGGCACUGCGCGAGGCUGGUCUCACAGAGCAGCGAUCACUGCUCGCUUCCAACGGUGGAAGGAUA
rnacentral:SRP_RNA from 1 species